UUAGCGCCUUCUCCAAGAGAGGAAAUGUGGACAAUAGUGUUAAAUGCAAUUGUGCAGAUCUUUUCCAGAGACUGUUUAGCCAAGCCCAUUCUUUACAAAGCAACUGACAGCUUUUGAGGUGUGGCUAGCCCAUGGCACCGAACAUAAGAAACCACCAGAACAGCUACCAGUAGUUCUUCAGUCUUGUCAGGUAGAUCUGGUGAAAGAUGGUGGUCA